UUACUGCUGAGGAGUCCCACAAUAGGACGAAACGGCCGUCCAGUGC
rfam:Schistosoma curassoni strain Dakar, Senegal genome assembly, scaffold: SCTD_scaffold0003765